rnacentral:rRNA from 1 species
UACAGGGGGUGCAAACGUUGCUCGGAAUCAUUGGGCGUAAAGCGCACGUAGGCGGUUUGUUAUGUCGGAUGUGAAAGCCCUUGGCUCAACUGAGGAAGUGCAUCCGAAACUGGCAAGCUAGAGUACUAAAGAGGGUCGCGGAAUUCCCGGUGUAGAGGUGAAAUUCGUAGAUAUCGGGAGGAACACCGGUGGCGAAGGCGGCGACCUGGGUAGAUACUGACGCUGAGGAGCGAAAGCGUGGGGAGCGAACAGG